AGCCAUCCUUGAAAGAGUGCGUAAUAGCUCACUGGUCAAGUGAUUCCGCGCCGAUAAUGUAGCGGGGCUUAAGUUAUCCGCCGAAGCUGUGGCAACCUGUGUGGUUGGGUAGGGGAGCGUCGUGUCAGUGGUGAAGCUGCCGGGUGACUGUGUGGUGGAGUUGAUGCGAGUGAGAAUGCAGGCAUGAGUAGCGUGUGACGGGUGGGAAUCCCGUCCGCCGAUUAUCCAAGGGUUCCAGGGUCAAGUUUGUCUGCCCUGGGUGAGUCGGGUCCUAAGGCGAGGCCGACAGGCGUAGUCGAUGGGUAACCAGUUGAUAUUCUGGUACCGGCUUG
rnacentral:rRNA from 1 species